rnacentral:tRNA from 1 species
GAUUCUCUUUUAUAUAGUUUAAGAAAAACAUUACAUUUUCACUGUAAAAUUAAAUAUCUUUAUUUUUUA